rnacentral:rRNA from 1 species
UACUACAUGAAUAUGAUGUAGGUUUAGAUAAAACGCUAUAUAGAGACAUUACACAUGCAAGUAUGAUAUAUAAUUAUAAUAAUAUAUUUUAAUAUAUUCUAUAAUAUAAUUAUAAUAAUAUAAUUUUAAUAUGUUAUAUAAUAUAUAUAUUGUGCGUUCCGGUGAGUUAUAGUAAGGGCUAUUAACAGUCCUACUACAGAUGUAGGUAAUAAUCAACCAGAUUAGCCUUUAACCUGAACCUCAUGGUUUAUAGCCAUAAGAGGCACAUGGAGAGAUCUAAUACGGCACACGUGUCGUAGCUGCAGUGAGGAAUAAUUGACAAUGAUCUAACCGAUUGAUCGUGUUAUCUAUAUAAGAGUACAUAAUAGAUAUUUUAUAUCUAUAUCAUAGGAUAUUGUUAUAUAUAAGGAAAACUAUAUUAAAUUUAAUAUAAUUUUUACUUUAACAACCGCCGCCGUAGGCGGCGGUUUAUAACACCUAUCAUACCAUGUUAUUUUCUUUAUUUUCAAUAAUAAUGAUAUUGUUUAACUAUAGUCCUUACUAAGAUGUGUGCCAGCAGUAGCGGUCAUACACACAGGGCUAGCGUUUAUCAUUUUUGGUAUAAAGUAUCUGUAGACUUUUAAACUAUUAUAUAACUCUAAAUUUUAUAUAUAUUAUAGAUAAAUUUUAAUAUGAUCUAUAAUAUAAAAAAUAAGAUAUAUAAUAUUUAUAGAAUUAAAUAAUUAAGUAGUAAGUACGGUGUAAGUAGAGAUGAAAUGUAAUAAUCUAUAUCGGACUGCAUAAUAGCUAUUUAUAUUUAAUUGACGUUGUGAGAUGUAGGCUUUAAUCGCAAAAUGGAUUCGGUACCCAUGUAGCUAUUGCUUUAAACUAUGUAUACAACAUAUAUAUAAUAUAUAUAUUUCAGUUAUAAUUAAUAUAUAAAUAAGUUAAUAUAAUUAUAGUUGAGAUACAGUUAAACUGAUAAUAACAAAAAUAUAGUUAUAAAAGGGGAAAACCCGCCACCUAUGGUGGCGGGUAAAUAAGUACCAAAAACAUAGUCUAUAUGUUAUUAAUAUAAUAUAUAUAGGAAAAUGAAAUAUGAUUAGUAUACCACCAAAACAGUACGUUCGCAAGAAUAAAAUAUAAUACAUUAGACGGUUAUAUAACAAAGCAGUGGAUCAUGUUGUUUAAUUGGAUGAUACCCCAUAAUCUUACCAAAUCUUGAAUAUAUAUAAUUUUCUUUAAUGAUUUUUAUAUUAUAAAUAUAGAUUAAUUUACUAUGUAUUUCCUUCUAAUAUUUAUUAUAGUUAAUUUAAACUAUUCUAUGAUAUAUUAUAAAUGAUAUAAAAUAGUAAUAGUAUAAACUAUAUAAAUACAUGAUAAAUAAUAUAUAAAAUAAUUAAUGAAAAUAUAUAAACAGGCGUUACAUUGUUGCCGCCAGUUCAUGCCUAAUGGUUUUUUAUUAAGUUAAAUAAUGAACAAAAGCCUCGUCUAUGGCUAUACUAAUACCCGCCGCCAAUAGGCGGCGGGUAUGGAAUAUAAUCUAUGAUAUUCAAUUUACGUAUGGCCCGCCGCCGUAGGCGGCGGGCUACUGUUUUUAACAUUAAAUUUAUAGUAUAGUUAUAGUUAUAUAUUAGCAUAACAGUUAAAUGAAAGAGGAAAAAGGCUAAUCCGCAUGACCCUAAUGAUUUGGGCUACAAAUGUGAUACAUGAUAUACAUACAAUAGUUAAUAUGAAAAUAUUAAUAUAAACUGUAUACUAAAGGCCGUGGAUGUCAUUAAAAUGGAUUAUAUUCUGAUAUUCGAAUAUAUGAAAACGGAACUGCUAGUAAUCAUGUAUAACCAAAACAUGGUGAAUUUGCUCUAUAUUUCGCACUAAUCACUCAUCAAUAGCCUAAAUAUGAAUAAUACUCAUUAAGGUCCAUAUGACUAUAUAAUAACUAUAUAUUAUAUGCCCGCCAUAGGCGGGCUGUUAUAUGCUAUUAUAUCUAUCUCAUAUGUAGACUGCAUAAUGUCUAUAUAUAUCUAAGAUAGGCUGUAAGUUGAAAUACAGUUCGGGUAAGGGAACUUGCUCGGGACUUAUAUACAUA